rnacentral:rRNA from 1 species
UGGGGAAUAUUGCACAAUGGGCGAAAGCCUGAUGCAGCGACGCCGCGUGAGGGAUGACGGCCUUCGGGUUGUAAACCUCUUUCAGCAGGGAAGAAGCGAAAGUGACGGUACCUGCAGAAGAAGCGCCGGCUAACUACGUGCCAGCAGCCGCGGUAAUACGUAGGGCGCGAGCGUUGUCCGGAAUUAUUGGGCGUAAAGAGCUCGUAGGCGGUCUGUCGCGUCGGAUGUGAAAGCCCGGGGCUUAACCCCGGGUCUGCAUUCGAUACGGGCAGACUAGAGUGUGGUAGGGGAGAUCGGAAUUCCUGGUGUAGCGGUGAAAUGCGCAGAUAUCAGGAGGAACACCGGCGGCGAAGGCGGAUCUCUGGGCCAUUACUGACGCUGAGGAGCGAAAGCGUGGGGAGCGAACAGGAUUAGAUACCCUGGUAGUCCACGCCGUAAACGGUGGGAACUAGGUGUUGGCGACAUUCCACGUCGUCGGUGCCGCAGCUAACGCUAA